rnacentral:lncRNA from 1 species
CGCACCCCGGUAAUACUUCAUAAUUUACUUCCCUUUUCUUUUUUAUGUGUAAAGGAUAAAUAAUUGUCAAGAUCUUAUUACAAAAGGAGAAGGAUCCUGAUUUUUAUGUUCAUAUUUUUCAUUCUUCUAACAUGAGCUUAUAUUUAUCAUUACAAAUCUUCUCCCACAAUGCUCUAAAAUUUCUUUUGAAUUAUUUUUUCUUUGAUGAGGCUUAAUUUUAUUUGUGAAGUUCAUAAAGUCAAAACUAUGGCCACCAUUGACUGGGAUACCAAUCUAGGAUUUUCCCCUAUCCUUGCGUCCUUGAAUAAAAUUGGCAAACUUGUAAUGCUUUACGAAAGAACUAGGGGGAAAACAGAGAAGUGCUAUAUAGUUGCAGCCAUACAAUUUUUUUUCUCUUUUUUCCAUUCCUCCUGACCCUAAAAAGAUGAAAGGAACCUCAUUACUCUUUUCUUAUUCAAAAAUGCUCAUUCUCCGUGUAGUUCUUUGUGAAGUCUUUUAUCAUAUAGAUAAACCAAGGUGGUUAAUUUUUUAUUAGGAUGUUGUCUUCAAUUGCUACCUCUUGGAAUCUUCAACUUCAUCAAUAUUGGCGGGUCGCUUAAACAUGACUACUGUCAUGCCAAGCCCUCACUCUCCUGGCUUCCUAAAUUGGUUGCAUUUCACUUUUUCAGUCUCCACAUCAACCAACCGGGACCAUCUUCACUAUCGAUGACCACCACAAAUAGCAAGCUGCCGACUUGACUAUCUUUGUGAUAGUAAAUGUUCGCUACAUUUUUUUGGGUUUGCUUGUUAUUGAAAUUUAUAUAUUGUUAUGUGUGCAAGUCAUUAGAGAAUUUUGUAAGAGGAAAAAAAUGAUUGGUGCUUAUUUGUUGCUAUUUUAUUUUAAUAUGACUGCAAAUUGCUUUAUACAAUGUCCCUUGGAUCCAUGUUACCUUUCCUUAAAAAAGAAAUUGUUACAUAUGGUGUGCGUUCAUUUAAUGUUUUCUUUUUGCCCUCUCACUUGUUAAGCAUAUGUUUUCACAAGUGGUUGAUUAGGAGGAAUUGCAUCUCCCUACAAUUAGUUUGAAAAAGGAUGAGUAUUUUUUGGAUGGAAAGCACAUCACGUUCAUCUAUGUUCUUUAUGCAC